rnacentral:lncRNA from 1 species
CUGAACUUUGCGAUAGAGAGAGAGAGAAAGCACUUUAUUUGCACCGGUCAGAGAGUAUGGGUUAUCGGGGUGAGACUCAGCUCCCCCUUUCACCGUCUACCUCCCCCCUAGACGUCGGCCGGAAUCAGUUGGCUUCCGGCGGCGGCCU